rnacentral:tRNA from 1 species
GUUAAUGUAGCUUAAAUUAAAGCAGAGCACUGAAAAUGCUAAGAUGAGUAUUAAUACUCCAUAAACA